rfam:Candidatus Saccharibacteria bacterium CG2_30_41_52 cg2_3.0_scaffold_5_c, whole genome shotgun sequence.
CUACGCCAAGACAAAUACCCAAAGACAGUAGCCGUGGAAACACUUAAUUCGCUACCGAGGAUUAUGUAUCACUACAUUUUUCGAUUAAAGUCUUUGGCAGUGCGAGUUCCAAAGACUUUUUCUUUGUAAAG